rnacentral:rRNA from 1 species
CCCUUAGAUGUCCUGGGCCGCACGCGUGCUACACUGACACUUACACCGAGUUUUUCCAAUGCCGAAAGGCCAUUGGUAAUCAGCAAUAAGUGUCGUGAUGGGGAUAGAUCUUUGGAAUUAUUGAUCUUGAACGAGGAAUGCCUAGUAAUCGUAGGUCAUCAGCCUGCGAUGAUUACGUCCCUGCCCUUUGUACACACCGCCCGUCGCUCCUACCGAUUGAAUGGUCCGGUGAAAUCUCCGGACUGGCGUGAGUCGGAGCAAUCUGACAAACACCGGAAAGUUGAUUAAACCUUACCAUUUAGAGGAAGGUGAAGUCGUAACA